GGCUGGUCUGAGUGCAGUGGUGUUUACAACUAAUUGGCCACAACCAGUUAAACAGAUUCCUUUGGUCCUUCUCCACUUCCACUGCUUCACUUGACUAGCCUAAA
rnacentral:Y_RNA from 1 species